rnacentral:rRNA from 1 species
AUUGAACGCUGGCGGAAUGCUUUACACAUGCAAGUCGAACGGCAGCACGGGGGCAACCCUGGUGGCGAGUGGCGAACGGGUGAGUAAUGUAUCGGAACGUGCCCAGUCGUGGGGGAUAACGUAGUGAAAAUUACGCUAAUACCGCAUACGAUCUAUGGAUGAAAGCGGGGGAUCGCAAGACCUCGCGCGAUUGGAGCGGCCGAUAUCAGAUUAGGUAGUUGGUGGGGUAAAGGCUCACCAAGCCGACGAUCUGUAGCUGGUCUGAGAGGACGACCAGCCACACUGGAACUGAGACACGGUCCAGACUCCUACGGGAGGCAGCAGUGGGGAAUUUUGGACAAUGGGCGCAAGCCUGAUCCAGCCAUUCCGCGUGCAGGAUGAAGGCCCUCGGGUUGUAAACUGCUUUUGUACGGAACGAAACGGCGAGCUCUAAUACAGUUUGCUAAUGACGGUACCGUAAGAAUAAGCACCGGCUAACUACGUGCCAGCAGCCGCCGCGG